rnacentral:rRNA from 1 species
GAGCGGCAGCGGGAAGUAGCUUGCUACUUUGCCGGCGAGCGGCGGACGGGUGAGUAAUGUCUGGGAAACUGCCUGAUGGAGGGGGAUAACUACUGGAAACGGUAGCUAAUACCGCAUGACCUCGAAAGAGCAAAGUGGGGGACCUUCGGGCCUCACGCCAUCGGAUGUGCCCAGAUGGGAUUAGCUAGUAGGUGAGGUAAUGGCUCACCUAGGCGACGAUCCCUAGCUGGUCUGAGAGGAUGACCAGCCACACUGGAACUGAGACACGGUCCAGACUCCUACGGGAGGCAGCAGUGGGGAAUAUUGCACAAUGGGCGCAAGCCUGAUGCAGCCAUGCCGCGUGUGUGAAGAAGGCCUUCGGGUUGUAAAGCACUUUCAGCGAGGAGGAAGGCAUUAAGGUUAAUAACCUUGUGAUUGACGUUACUCGCAGAAGAAGCACCGGCUAACUCCGUGCCAGCAGCCGCGGUAAUACGGAGGGUGCAAGCGUUAAUCGGAAUUACUGGGCGUAAAGCGCACGCAGGCGGUUUGUUAAGUCAGAUGUGAAAUCCCCGAGCUUAACUUGGGAACUGCAUUUGAAACUGGCAAGCUAGAGUCUUGUAGAGGGGGGUAGAAUUCCAGGU